rnacentral:rRNA from 1 species
UUGUCCCCGGGCUUGCCGGCGACUGCCUCUGAUGCUGACUUAAUUGAGUCUCUUAGAGGGGGGUAGAAUUCCAGGUGUACCGGUGAAAUGCGUAGAGAUCUGGAGGAAUACCGGUGGCGAAGGCGGCCCCCUGGACCAAAACUGACGCUCACGUGCGAAAGCGUGGGGAGCAAACAGGAUUAGAUACCCUGGUAGUCCACGCCGUAAACGAUGUCUACUUGGAGGUUGGGCCCUUGAGGCCCCCCUUCCGGAACUAACGCGUUAAGUCGACCGCC